UUGACCUCAAAUCAGGUAGGACUACCCGCUGAACUUAAGCAUAUCAAUAAGCGGAGGAAAAGAAACUAACAAGGAUUCCCCUAGUAACUGCGAGUGAAGCGGGAAAAGCUCAAAUUUGAAAUCUGAUGGUUUUUGACCGUCCGAGUUGUAAUCUAGAGAAGUGUUUACCCGUGCUGGACUGUGUACAAGUCUCCUGGAAUGGGGCAUCGUAGAGGGUGAGAAUCCCGUCUUUGACACGGACUGCCAGUGCACUAUGGGUGUGCUCUCGAAGAGUCGAGUUGUUUGGGAAUGCAGCUCAAAAUGGGUGGUAAAUGCCAUCUAAAGCUAAAUAUUGGCGAGAGACCGAUAGCGAACAAGUACCGUGAGGGAAAGAUGAAAAGAACUUUGGAAAGAGAGUUAAACAGUACGUGAAAUUGCUGAAAGGGAAACGCUUGAAGUCAGUCGCGUUGGCCAGAAAUCAGCCUUGCUUUUGCUUGGUGUAUUUUCUUGUCUUUACGGGUCAGCAUCAAUCUUGACCAUUGGAUAAGGUCUGUGGGAAUGUGGCAUCUUUGGAUGUGUUAUAGCCCAUGGUCGCAUACGGUGGUUGGGAUUGAGGAACUCAGCACGCCCGCGAGGGACGGGUUUUGACCACGUUUUCGUGCUUAGGAUGCUGGCAUAAUGGCUUUAAUCGACCCGUC
rnacentral:rRNA from 1 species